ACAAUCACAACUGAACCAAUCCACCUGACAGUUAGCAAUUAGACGUUGUACAGUACAAAGUGACCCAGCAGUUGAAUGUUGUUUUACAACAAUUUAUUUGGACAAACAUUGAUGUGCAGCAAACGUAAAGGACAGUUUAACAAUAGGACUAAAACAUUUUUGACAAGAAACAGACAACUAUAAACCCCCUGAAGAAGGCCUCAAAAUAAAGGCCGAAACGUCGGUGAAGUAGAGAAAAUCUGUUUUUCUUUUUCGACAAGACUGCUCGCCAAAACCAGA
rnacentral:lncRNA from 1 species